ACAUUGAAAUCUAACCAAAUCAAGCAUCAAAACCUCCCUCUAAGUGUUCGGCUAGCAAGGGAUUCAUCAUGAUUUCAUGUGAUUCAACCAUGGAAAAUAAGAAAAAAUGCUUAAGAAAGAGAGAUCUCAAGCUUAAUUGAAAAAAUCUUACCUUUUUUCACUUGUUUCCUUGAAUUUUCACACUUUUCCCUUGAAGUUUUCCACCUAGGGUUUUGUUCUUCCUUUUUCUUGCUUCUCCUUGGUGAGGCCGACCAUAAUGAAGAGAAAUGGGCUGGUUUUGUGCUAAUUUAUAAGAAAAAUAAUAAAGAAAUAAAAGCUUAACACUUGUUACCUUACCAUUGGUCUAUUUUUAAAUUCUUAACUAUUAAGCUUUCUUUCUCCACCACAUAAAAUCUUUCAGUUAUCCAUGAUAAUAAUGUGUGAAAUUCAUGUGUUGGACAAGUGUUGGGUGGUGUAAAAUUUUGAUUUUGCCCUUAGGAGGCAAAAUGACUAUUUUACCCCUAUGCUCAAAAAAAUAUCGAAAUUAAAAUUUUUCACUUCUCAAACUCAAAUUAUGUUCUAAAUAGUCAAUCUUGAUCAAAAACUUCUUCCAACAUUCCUAUUUUAACCUUGGGUGGCAAAAUGACCAUUUUACCCCUAGGUAAUGAAAAUUCCAAUUUGACUCCAAAUCGGUCCUCGAACUCUGAAUCACCAUUUUAAGUCAUUCUAGGGCUUUAAAAUUCUCAAUUUCAUCUUAAAAUCUCUAUUUGGACUAGUUCAAGGCUUAAUUCAACUUAAUUGUACCAUUUGGUACAUUACCGUCCUUUAACGAUUUUUGAGGUACCCAAGUAAGCAAACAUGCAUUCUUAUGUAAGAAUGGCAUAAUAAACAUAUUGUAGAGCUGGGCUUGAUAGCACCACCCCCCUUAAAAAAAAAUUUUGACCUCAAAAUUUCAUUUACUGAACUCAGAGAAAAGGUGUGGGUAUUGUUUUCUCCUCUAAUGCUCGACUUUUUAUGUUCUCCCCUUUAUAGGGAAUUUCGAUUUGUUCACCUCAUUUACCUCCAAUUCAACUCGAGUACUUCACUUAUGUCUAUUAUUAUCCUUUAAAAUUAGAUCAACAGUAACCUUCACAAUUAUGAUCUCUUAUAUCGAGACACCAAGCAUACUUCUAUUACUAUCAUUAAACUUGAACCAUAACUCCAUCUCAAUCAUACCAAUUUCGAUCGCAUUUUAUACUUAUUUAGGUAUACCAAUCACUAUCUUAUUACUUCAUUCCAUAUCAAACUUCUCGACUUUCAUUCAUUCAUCCUAUCCUCAUACACUAUUGUGUAGUUUACGGCAUCAUAAACAUGCCAUACUCAUUCCUGUACAUAUCCUCAGCGUUAGGGAAGAUUAAUGGCUUCAAUUAUUUCCACAUACUUCAUGUUUACCUUGCAUUUAGGAAGUUUCAAUCUUCUUAAUCCUAUUAAUCCAUCUCAUAUGGCUUAAUCGCACUAUAGAUUACAUUUCCUUAACUAUUUUCCCAAAAUUCCUUAGGUCGCCAUAAAUCGACUUCUGAUAAGAUUUUUGAUCGUUACAUUAUCUAUACAACUCAUCAAAUAUAUUGAGCUCAAAUCUCGAACCACUAAAACCAUUCUUCAUUUUAGUUGGGUACAUCACUAACUUCACACAUACGUAUACACGCACAUUCAAAUGUCCAUAUUCCUCAUUAUGUAUACGGGUCUCUGUUUUCAAAUGCCUUCAGACUAAUUUCUCUUUGUUCAUUCCCAUCCAUAACCAAGAUUCAAUAGAAUAAUCUUCAUAAUUCAUACAAAUUCUCAUCAUGCUUGUGCAUAGUUCCAUAUCAUUUACAUACUUAUACUCCCUUCUUAUCAUUUCCAAUUAUAUGCUUAAGUUUCCUUGUACUAUAUAUCAUUGCAUCACAAUGUCAUCUCCAUUGAAUUAUAAUCUAUUAUGCAUGUAUGCUUUAUAAUCCCAUUGAUGCCUCAAAGAUUUAUCUUAACUUGAUCAUUGCAUCUUAUGCAAUACCAUAAUUCCUAAGAGUCAUCCUUUUUCCCUAAUUAUCCUUCAUGCCUCUACAUUACCUUGUAUCCUUCUUGCAUUCCGAUAUUGAUUUGUCACUUAAAACUCAGACUCUUUUGAAUCAUGUAUGCCUCAAGCAUUUCGAAUUCUAAUUUCCAUAAUAUAUUAGGAAAGUUUCAUUAUCCGACUUCAUUAUGAAGGUCAACUUCUAUCAUCCUUUGUUCCACUCUUUCAUACGAAUAUAACAUCAUUCUCUCUUAGCCAAUUUACAGAUUGUAAUUGAAAUUGCAAGACUUGAAACUAGAUUCUCCUCAAGUACUUUUCAAUGUCAAUACAAGUAUCACUAUCAGCUUACGACUUCAUUUUAUGAUCACAUAACUUAGUGAUUGCUUUCACGAGAUCCAUGGCAGAACUUCUCUUGAGUAUUUCCUUAAGGAUAUCUAUCUUAAACUUAUGUCUCACAUCAAGUGAUCACUUAACUCGUGACUUAAGCGUUUGGCUCCUUAGCAAGUUUCAAAGUCACGCAUCUUAUGGUCAUCACGUAUAACUUAUAAUUCUUUCUCAAAGGCGUUUAAACAUUCUUGAAACACUUAAUCACUUAUUUGCUCUUUCAUACUCCAAGUAUAUCAUUUCCAUAAAGGCACGCCCAGCUACUCAUGCUUCAAUUUAUCUCCAAGGGUUUCUAGCAUGCCACGUAGUUUACUUGUGUUAUCACUAAUCCUUUCCUUUCAACAAAGUCAAGACAAGAUUUGUAAAUUCUCGUAACAAUAUUCUAUAUAAACUCAUUUGCUAUAUCAUUCUUGAAAUCUUCAUUCACACUCUCAUCACUUGGUAUUGACAACUCUUAUCAAUAUCUCAUACAUUCAUCUAACUUUUCACUCGCUUUCUCUUUAGUCUUUAACAAGGCUUAAUCUCUUGUCUUCUUUAUUUCUUAAGAUUUGACUUUAGUCAACAUAUUAUUCAUCUUAACACUCCACAUGUUAAUUUAUUUUUAUGUAGCCAUCACAAAAACUCUCUAACGUUUCUCUCUUACAUGUCAAUAUGAAAGACAAUAAAGAAACUUUGCAAUUUCAGUCAUCAUCUUUAUCUUAAUACCUCCCCAAUGCACUUAAGACUCUAAACAACAAAGCUUAGCAUCAAAACCAAUAACCAUAUUUCAACUCGCGAGUCUGAUCUUUAUGUCGCUAAUAAUUUGCUCAUGCUUUCUAACCAUAAGGGGUUCUUAACGCGACAGCGUUUGAUAGUCAGUACUGUGGCAUUGCAACUAUUUGAAUUCACUUUAUCCUAGCAACUCUUCUACCUUUAAAGCUACUACCUCAAUUAUUCACAAUCGUGUGGCUUCCCUCUGAGUCUAUACCACAAUUAGCAAGACUAACUUUCUAUCACAAGUGCACGAUCAGAACUUUGAUUUAACGUAUUUAUUUUGCCACUAACAUUCAGAUAUCUUUACCAUAACAUUUAGUACGAGUUUGCUUAAGCAAAAAUCUCCAAAUUUAUUUAUAGCGACAUGUAUCUCAUAUUGCACACCACUUAUCAUCAGUAAAUAAAUCCCACUUGAGAAUACUCUUUCUAUAUUGUAUAGUGACUUCACCAUAUAUGUAUGACACCACACACAUAAUUAUUCAUUGUUUUCUAAUGUUCCACAAUUCUUUAGUAUUCACAACUACUGGUCUUCUUUGUCUUACAUCUCAUAUAGUCCAAUCACUUCAACUUAAAAUCGUCAUGAAAUUAAUCCACCUGAAUCAACAUUUUAUGCUUAUCUUAUUAUUAGUUCAAAAGUUUCAUGAUCAUGGAAACUACAAUUUACAAAACUAGCUUUCUAUCAUAUGUACUUUAUUAGAACACUAAUUUCAACAUAUUUAAUCUACCUUUGGUGGUAUGUCAAAACCAUCCCUGUCUCGAUUGUAAUCCAGAGGAAUCUCUCCUCUGCAUAUCCGUACGAGCUGGUGGAGAUGGAGCAGCUACCGUAGCCCGUCCUAACUGUGGGAAUCUCUCGUAAUGUGACCCGACUGACCACAAUAAAAACAUCAUAUAGGCCCUCUACACGACUCGACAUGAUAUCUUCCACAAUUUCUGCAUUUAUCAGAACCUCCAUAACUCUUCCCAAAAAUAGUCAUCGUAAAUCUGUUAAAUCUCGGAGGCCUUUGCUAUGUCUGUGAAAAUGGGGGUCGGGAAGAUGUUACUGAAACAGUAGUAGUACUUCCUGAAACAAAUGAGUCUUUGCCCCUUUUUGGUGGCUAACCAAAAGAUACACUGAAAUUUCUCCUUUUUGCUAACUCAGCUCGCAUUCUCCUAUUUUCAUUCGCAAGCUUCUCAGCUCUUAAAGCCAUUUGCACCACCUCUUCAGCUACGGUUGCGUCCGACUCACCCAUAAAAGAAAUGCAACCAUUUUGCCUAGCCUCUUUAAGCUUCUUAGAAUUAGAACAUCAAGCACUAGUGGUGGGACAAGAGAUGGGGGUGGUGGCACUAAAGGAGCAACUGGAGGAACUGUAGGAAGAGCUUGACCAACCUGAGCCUAGCCAGCAAUAGCAAUAAAGAAGGCUGCCAAUGCCUGAACAGCCUCAAGAGGCAUAGAAGGAAUACUAGUAAAUGGCGAAGGAGGUGGAGGAGUCUCGGUCUGCUCAAUAGCAGGUGCUGCCCAAAUAGUAGACACAGCCGAUUCCCCCUCUAUAGGAUCUAGCUGACGAUGUUGAGAACGCCCUCUUCCCCUCCCAGCCGAUCUAGUAAGAGGUGGGUGUUCACGUCGAGGAGGCAUGAUAAUCUAUAAGAAGGAAUAAAGCAUGUUUAAACAACCUGAAGCUCUACAUGCAAAUACAUGCAUUCUAUUCAGUCUAACCUAACUUAACUCAAUGCCACACUAAUACUGUAAAUUUUAAAAUAACUUUAAAACAACUUUAAACCCAAAAGCUCUGAUCUUUAAAAUCAAAAGCUCUAAUACCAAUGUCAUUGUCAUGACCCGAAACUCUUAUCGAGCCCGUGACAACAGUCGCGAUGUCCUGAUAGACAUUCAUUACCAGAAAUGCCAAUCGAAACCUCGUAAGACUUAACAUCAGUUUUCUCGCUUCCUUUGUGAGUAUUAGUUACUAAAAUCAUGUUUUAAAGUGAUAUGAACCAAUUUCAAUUUAAGAACAGUCAAAGAGAAAUUUCAACUAUAUAGGGGUAUUUUGGUCAUUUUUCUCAAAAAUUUCGAAACCAGCUAAAAAUGUAGUAUGCGAGUGGAAAACACAUAUUUCAUAAUCAAAAAUAAGUUUAGAUGUAUAAAACAUUCAUUUAAAGUGAAACUGUACCUAUUUGAAUAUAAUAAAAAUAUUCAAUAAAAUAUUUUAUUUUCUUAUAAAACAAUAUUUAUAGAGUUACCGGUAAAUAAUUUUUACAGCGUAAAAGCUAAAUAAAUUUAUACAUAUUGUAAUACAGACAACUAAAGCAUAAGAUUUAAUUUACAGUGACAUGUGGGCCCACGAAUGGCCAAAAAUAUCAAAAACGGUAAAUCUAUAGUUUUUGAGGAUGCAAGUCCAACUGUAGCCCUCAACGAAAUGAGCUAUCUACCGAUUAUCCUAAGCCUGAAAUGGGUGGAAAGGAGGGUGGUGAGAUUAUAUAAUCCCAAUCAGUAAACAAAUAUCAUCUAAAAUAUCUAAAGCUGAGUAAAUGGAGACAAAUAAAAUAGUUUAACAUAAAAAUGAUUCACAGCAUUUCGAACUCAUUUUAAUAAGAUAAAAUAGAUUCAUUUCACCCAAAUAAACAACGAGGCUUAUGAUUUCCUGAAAAGUUUAGCUCGUGCCAAAAUCAUUCUCAUACUCAGUUAACAAGGAUAUCUUGGCCUAGGGCUAUCCCAACCGAGUUCGCCAAGGCUGUUAAAAAGUCAUGUACGCAUAAAUCAUGUUUUUAUUUUGAAAACAUAGUCGUUCCUUGGCAUUGGCUGAGUUCACCCUCACGUGGUAAUUUGGCGUGAAGUGAACUCUAAAGUUGUACCUCGAGAAUUACCCUACGCGCCUCCCCAAUCGAGGUAAGAAUAUAAUAGGAUUCCGUGCCCCUCAAAAGGGCUGGCCCACAGAACCUGCCCACUGUAGCAAGCUAAACCCACCAUACAAUAAAAUUUGCAAUAGCAUGAUAUGGCAAUUAUUUUAUUUUACAGCCUCUCAAGGCAAAUCAAUAGUCCAUACAUUUUUAGCAUAUUUACCAAUUCAACCAUUCAUGCCAAUAUUAUCAUAAGCCAUUCAAUUCAAACCAUGAUUUUAAAACAGCAAUUAGUCUCCAAUAACUCCAUUUUCAAAACCAUCUUUCAAUUUCAAGAUAAUUUUAUAAAAUCAUUUCAUUUAAUCACAUUUUGCUUAUAAAACAUAAAGAUUUACCAUUUAAACUCAUUUUUCUAUCAAUUCACGAAAACGAAUAAACACUACUUUAGAUAAUUAAGACGAUAAUAAGGUUACUCACUAUUUCGAGAGUCUAAUUUCAAGUACUCUGAUUCUUGAUCCUCGGGUACUAUCUCUUUACUUUUGCCAGAAAGCUCACCACCUAGAUAUAAUGCACAAUAAACCAUUUACUACAUUUGUGCUAAAUCGUUGUAAAUCCAAUUCAAGCUUUAUACUAAUGCAUGAAAUGGGAUGUGAAAUACUUGGUUAACUAUCUAAAUACGGUGUUCAAUAUAAAUUCAAUUAUGUACCUAAAUAAAAUGGUAUUGGCCUAAUUCGAUCUAUCACUCGAUUAAUUGGCCAAUAUGUCCAAUUUAAUUCCAAUUAACUCCAUUUUUCUUCCAAUUCUCCAAACCAUCAAACACAAGUCAAAUAGCAUAAAAUUUAGCAAAAUCAUCUUCACAUUUUCUCUUGGGAAUUUCGGCCAUGGUGGGUGCAUCAAUACUAUGAUUUUUCCUACUUGAUUUUCUCACCGUAAUUCAUCAUUUCCUAACCAAUUCACUUGAAAGAAAAUCAAAAUUAUCAUCAAUAUUCCACAUGGAGAAUUCGGCCAAUGAGGGUUAUGGAAGAACAUAAAUUUUUCUUGCUUGAUUUUCAUACUACACAUCACCAAUCAACUAAAAACACUAGAAUACAUUGAAAUCUAACCAAAUCAAGUAUCAAAACCUCCCUCUAAGUGUUCGGCCAGCAAGGGAUUCAUCAUGAUUUCAUGUGAUUCAACCAUGAAAAAUAAGAAAAAAUGCUUAAGAAAGAGAGAUCUCAAGCUUAAUUGAAAAAAUCUUACCUUUUUUCACUUGUUUCCUUGAAUUUUCACACUUUUCCCUUGAAUAUUUCCACCUAGGGUUUUGUUCUUCCUUUUU
rnacentral:lncRNA from 1 species